rnacentral:rRNA from 1 species
GAAGGGACCUAGCGUAGUUCGGAAUUACUGGGCUUAAAGAGUUCGUAGGUGGUUGAAAAAGUUGGUGGUGAAAUCCCAGAGCUUAACUCUGGAACUGCCAUCAAAACUUUUCAGCUAGAGUAUGAUAGAGGAAAGCAGAAUUUCUAGUGUAGAGGUGAAAUUCGUAGAUAUUAGAAAGAAUACCAAUUGCGAAGGCAGCUUUCUGGAUCAUUACUGACACUGAGGAACGAAAGCAUGGGGAGCGAAGAGGAUUAGA